rnacentral:rRNA from 1 species
CUGAACCAGCCAAGUAGCGUGAAGGAUGACUGCCCUAUGGGUUGUAAACUUCUUUUAUAAAGGAAUAAAGUCGGGUAUGCAUUACCCGUUUGCAUGUACUUUAUGAAUAAGGAUCGGCUAACUCCGUGCCAGCAGCCGCGGUAAUACGGAGGAUCCGAGCGUUAUCCGGAUUUAUUGGGUUUAAAGGGAGCGUAGAUGGAUGUUUAAGUCAGUUGUGAAAGUUUGCGG